GACGAACGCUGGCGGCGUGCUUAACACAUGCAAGUCGAGCGGAGCGGCGAACGGGUGAGUAACGCGUGAGUAAUUGCCCCCCUCUCUGGGAUAACAGUUGGAAACGGCUGCUAAUACCGGAUAGUGGGGGAUGACUCGGGUCCUAUCAGCUUUUUGGUGGGGUAGCGGCCUACCAGGGGGACGACGGGUAGCCGGCCUGGGAGGGGGACCGGCCACCAUGGGCUGCGAUACGGCCCAAACUCCAACGGGGGGCAGCAGGGGGGAGUAUUGCACAAUGGGGGAACCCCUGAUGCAGCGACGCCGCGUGCGUAAUGACGGCCUUCUGGUUGUAAACCGCUGUCAGCCAUGACGCGGUAGUGGCAGAAGAAGCACCGGCUAACUACGUGCCAGCAGCCGCGGUAAUAC
rnacentral:rRNA from 1 species